UACGUAGGGGGCAAGCGUUGUCCGGAAUCAUUGGGCGUAAAGAGCGUGUAGGCGGCCCGAUAAGUCCGCUGUGAAAGUCCAGGGCUCAACCCUGGGAUGCCGGUGGAUACUGUCGGGCUCGAGUCCGGAAGAGGUGAGUGGAAUUCCUGGUGUAGCGGUGAAAUGCGCAGAUAUCAGGAGGAACACCAAUGGCGAAGGCAGCUCACUGGGACGGUAUUGACGCUGAGACGCGAAAGCGUGGGGAGCAAACAGG
rnacentral:rRNA from 1 species